rnacentral:rRNA from 1 species
UGUAAGCGUAUACCAAAGUUGUUGCAGUUAAAACGCUCGUAGUCGGAAUUUGGCAGUUCCGGAUGUGUGCACGUCGUGUGCGCACUUCGCGGGGAUUGCUUUUGUGGUCUUGCGUAGGAUGAGGCACUUUUAUUAGUGAACGUCCUCACGCAACCACUUUUUACUGUGAGAAAAUCAGAGUGCUCAAAGCAGGCAUUUGCCGUGAAUGUAUUAGCAUGGAAUAAUAGAAUAGGACUUGGUUCUAUUUUUUUGGUUUGUUGGGACUGAGUAAUGAUUAAGAGGGACAGUUGGGGGCAUUUGUAUUUCGGUGCUAGAGGUGAAAUUCUUAGAUUACCGAAAGACAAACUGCUGCGAAAGCGUCUGCCAAGGAUGUUUUCAUUGA